rnacentral:rRNA from 1 species
UUAAAUUGAAGAGUUUGAUCAUGGCUCAGAUUGAACGCUGGCGGCAGGCCUAACACAUGCAAGUCGAACGGUAACAGGAAGCAGCUUGCUGCUUCGCUGACGAGUGGCGGACGGGUGAGUAAUGUCUGGGAAACUGCCUGAUGGAGGGGGAUAACUACUGGAAACGGUAGCUAAUACCGCAUAACGUCGCAAGACCAAAGAGGGGGACCUUCGGGCCUU